CCUGAUGUGGUCGUAUUCGCUGCGACAGUCGUACUGGUGGUGGUGGGGGUGGUUGUGGUGGUGGUUGUGGUGGUAGUUGUGGUGGUUGUAGCUGAAAAGAAAUUUAAAAUGAUUUAGAAGUGAAUCAGAACAGACGUGUAGACAUUUUAGUUUGAUGAACUUGUGGUCGUGGUCACGGUUUGUGCUGUAGGAGUCGGGUCAGGUGUUGGGGUCAUGGUGGUCUGGGGUGGUGGUAAAAGUCGGGGUGGUAGUCAUGGUUGGUGUGGUUGUGGUAGUAGUUGGGGUGGUUGUUGUGGUAGUCGGGGUGGUUGUGGUGGUAGUCGGGGUGGUUGUCGUGGUAGUCGGGGUGGUUGUCGGGGUGGUUGUGGUGGUAGUCGGGGUGGUUGUGGUGGUAGUCGGGGUGGUUGUUGUGGUAGUCGGGGUGGUUGUGGUGGUAGUCGGGGUGGUUGUGGUGGUAGUCGGGGUGGUUGUUGCCAAAAAAUAUUGAAGAUUUUAAUUUGUCAGAAAGUUCAGAUCUCUUUGAAUGUGCUCGUCCGAAGGAGGGAGGGACUCACUUGUGGUCGUGGUAGGGGGCGCUGUGGUGGUGGGCAGGGGGUUGCAGUUGUUGGUGCUGCAGCAGGUGGGGGUCCCUUGGACGGAACCAAUGUUGGUGAACAGCGGCAACGAGGAGAGAGCGGCCGCCGCCGCACAAAUGUUCUCUGAAGCACAGCCAUGACCCGGGACAGCUGUGCUACUGCCCGUCGGAAUCACUGCAAAGAGAAACAGUUUGAGGUCCUGAGGGCGUCCGGCCGAGGCCCCGCGGGCGUCCGGCCGAGGCCCCGCGGGCGUCCGGCCGAGGCCCCGCGGGCGUCACUGUGUGAUGUCACUGACCUGAGGAGGUGAAGCAGCGUGUCUCCAGAGUGUUACAGGUCAGUCCAGUGGAGCAGGUGCUGGUCAGAGGGUUACAGCUGUAGCACUGCAGCGUCCCGGCGGGCGGGGCGGUCGGAGCUGAGAGAGAGGUCAGAGGUCAGGGGAGAGGUCAGGGGUCAGAGGUCAGGGGUACAGCCGGAGGACUCACCGGGCGCGUCGGCAGAGUUGCAAUUGUCGGUGGAGCAGCAGACGGCUUUGGCCAAAACGCUGGAGGUACUGACGUUCAGAGAAAAGUCCCGGGUACCGGCGGACGGACAGAAGCUGGACACGGCACAACCUUUGACCUUUUGGGUGGACGUGCCGCCGCUGGAGGUGGCUGCGGCGGAGCGGACGGGUCACAGAUAAAGUAUAUAACACAUACACGUGUGUAAAGGUUUACUCACUGAGGACGGUGGCCGACACACACUGGGUCUCUCCGCUGCUGCAGCUGAACUGAGUCGUGGAGCCACAGUUUGAGUCGUUUGGAUUUGUGCAGGUCACACAAAACAAGGCCACGACUGAAAGAACAACAGGGUCAGACCAGGACUAGACCAGGACUAGACCGGGACUAGACCGGGACUAGACCGGGACUAGACCGGGACUAGACCGGGACUAGACCGGGACUAGACCGGGACUAGACCGGGACUAGAGCGGGACUAGAGCGGGACUAGACCGGGACUAGACCGGGACUAGACCGGGACUAGAGCGGGACUAGACCGGGACUAGACCGGGACUAGACCGGGACUAGACCGGGACUAGAGCGGGACUAGACCGGGACUAGACCGGGACUAGACCGGGACUAGACCGGGACUAGACCGGGACUAGAGCGGGACUAGACCGGGACUAGAGCGGGACUAGACCGGGACUAGACCGGGACUAGACCGGGACUAGACCGGGACUAGACCGGGACUAGAGCGGGACUAGACCAGGACUAGAGCGGGACUAGACCAGGACUAGAGCGGGACUAGAGCGGGACUAGACCAGGACUAGAGCGGGACUAGACCAGGACUAGAGCGGGACUAGAGCAGGACUAGAGCGGGACUAGACCAGGACUAGAGCGGGACUAGACCAGGACUAGAGCGGGACUAGACCAGGACUAGAGCGGGACUAGACCAGGGCUGAACCAGGACUAAACCAGGACUAAACCAGGACUAAACCAGGACUGAACCAGGACUGAACCAGGUCUAAACCAGGACUAAACCAGGACUAAACCAGGACUAAACCAGGACUAAACCAGGUCUAAACCAGGUCUAAACCAGGUCUAAACCAGGACUCUACCUGAGGUGAUGGACAGGGCGAUAGUUAAGGCCAGAGAGAGGAGCAGACUGGUCUUCAUGUUUGGAGUUUUCUGUGGAGGGUUGAGCUGCGUCGGUGUUAGCGUCGGUGUUAGCGUCGGUGUUAGCGUCGGUGUUAGCGUCUGCCUUAGCGCCUGUAGUUGUGGUUGUGCGGAGGAUGCUGAGGCUCUUUUUAAACUCUGGAUG
ensembl:lncRNA